GAAUGUGGCAGAGUAGACAGCGCACUAGUCUUCUAUGUUAGAGAUCCCGGGUUCGAUUCCCGGUAAAAUCA
rnacentral:tRNA from 1 species